AGAAAAGAAAAACAUUCUAUGGGGUUCACAUACGUUCUACUUUGAAUAGUAGUUUUAGAUCAUGCAAGUAUAAAAGGGAGAAGUAUUGAAACCAUUUCAUGCUUCAUUAAUCUUAUUUUACCUCUUUUGUUGUUGUGUUUACAGGUGCCUGUGACCAACGAUCAACACAUGAGCAAGUUCACAAUGAAAUGAUGUCAGCAUCCGGUGCUGUGCAAUACUAUCAGUUGCAGGUCCCACAGGGAGAAAGUAAGAUUCCAUACUACACUUUUUUACAAUCAUGGGCACAGAACUCUGCAGUGAAACUGAUAUAUUGAUGACACAUAAUGACUAAUUAACACAUUUUAAUAAUUUAACUAAUUAGCGGACCUGUAGUAGCUGAAAAUAAAAUCUGCCAAUUGAAACAUUUUGGUAGUGCUUCCAAAUAUAUAAAUUAAUAUCUAUGUUUGUGCAGAUUUAUUCCCACCCCACAUUUCCGGGCGAUACACCCCCUUGCGUGCUCAUCAACAUGCUCAAAACGGUAUGCAGUACUGUCUUCUAGGUCAAUAACCACAACUUACUAAUGAAAUAUCAAAUAUCUUGUCAUUUUUUAUGCCCUCUAAUGUCGGAUAAGUAGACAGUUUUUUUUGUGUGUGAAGUGUGAAAGGGAACAGCUUUAUUUUCUCAUAGAAGGCAUUGCUCAAGAGUGAUCAGUAGUAGAUACAUUUUCAAGUGGGUUGGCAGUUUGAGAGAGAAGAAAAUAAUUGUAAUGGUCUUGUAAUACCACUGGGAAGGCGGCCUGGGUAGACUGAUGAAUUUCUUUGUUUGUGUUGAUGGUAAAGAAAUGCAUAUAAUUAACAUACAUUGUCUUUAUAGAUGUGACCAUGCAGGGUGACAAUGGACAUAUUUUGAAAGGUAAGUACUAGAAACUGUUAUGCUCUGCCACAUCCCAAUGCAUGGUCAGAUCUUUUAUUACUAGAGCUGCAGCAAACUCAUUUUUUUGAUUGUCGACUAGUCACAGAUUAUUUUUGACACUGAUCAGGUCAUGCAUACACAAUGCAAAACAUACAGCUUAUUGCACCACCAUUCAGCUGGACGGGAUGAUAGUUUGAUAAACUUUUAAUGAACUUUGGACCUUGUAGCAACAAACAAAUUAACUGUAGCAAAAAGUGCACCAUUCCUGUAAGUGUUCAAAACUGCUGUUUGCUUAUUGGCUGCAGCACAGCACACAUGUUCUUCAAGGACAGGAAGGCAGACAAGGCAAUGGAAGGUACAGUGGCACAGGGUUUCCCCCAGAAAAUGUGAUAAGCCUCGCAGACUGGACCGUCUGGGGUGAAAAAUGUGUUUGACAGAUCAUUCUGUUGGACAGAUUGUUAAGUUCCGCUGCUGUUUCCCUGCAGUAUCAGUUGAGACAAGCAAAGGCUUAUAAAGUGCUGGGGGAAACCCUGGUGGCAGUUUGAGGGAAAAAAUUGCUUAAAAAAUAGCAAAACGUUGAUAACUAAAUUUGUCGCCAACAAUUGUACUAGUUGACAUAAUCGUGACUAAUCGACUAGUCAUGGCAGCCCUACUAACUAUUAAAUACUUCACCACAAAAGUAUUCAGCACAUUUUUGUCUCAUGAAAAUUUGUUUACUUUUUUAAGACAUUGCCAUCCGAAAGAUGACUGAAAUGCUUUCCCAAGUACAGAGGUGGAAAGAGUACUAAAAUGUUGUACUUAAGUACAAGUAUAAUUACUUUCAUGAAAUUUUACUCAAUUACAAGUAAAAUUACCUGUACUCAAGUAAAAGUAAAAAGUAGCUUAUUUCAAAUGUAGUCAGAGUAAAAGUUACUUAGUUACUUUUUUGACUGUGCAAGGAUGGGCUCUUCUGAAUAGUUAAAAAAAGACAAUGGGGUAUAAAUGUCAAAGUGGCCAUUUUUUUAAUUAAAUGAACAAAUAUGCAUAUUGAAGUACAAAGGCAGUUACACUGCAAACUAGUAACAUAAAUUAGGUUAUAGUCACAAGCCCAUGACUUUUCCCUGAAUGCUUAUUUAGAGCAGCUGAUUUUUAAAGUUAGCAGAGUUCAUCUUUGGUAGUGGGUUCACUCACUCAUUUAAAGAUAUCGGCCAGAGGCAAAAUUUGUUUGAACAGCAUGUGUAAAUGUGUAUUAAAAUCUCAGAUGAAAAAGGUUUUUGGAUUUUGACGGCUGGAAUUGUAAGAAAAUCUGAUGUUUGUGACCAGCGCAGGAAAAACAGAAACUAACUUCCGGUCUAAGCCCUGGGCAGCAGUUGACGUUUCACAUGGAGCUCUGCUGAAACAGCUGUAGUAAACAACGCCUGGCUCCGCUGUUUCUGCGUUAGCGUUAUAGCAGAGAACAAUGUGUCAUCAAUCAGAUGUAGCUUCUGAAGCCUCUACUAGUCCAUCAGAUUUGCUUUUUCUCUGGGAAACGGCGACGAGAAUGGAUGUUAGAUUACUGGAGAAGUUCAACCGAACUCCGACCCCGCCAGCUGGAUAUCACUACCAGAGGUGCAGACAUGUUUUAGACCGUUUGACUCAGAAGACCUGCGAGCUGAUUUGGACAUAGAGGAGGAUUCUGUUCAUCUUCAGAACCAAAAUUGGUACAGUUUGUUUACUUUUCUUAAAUAUUUCAUUUCUGUGCUCCACUGGGAGCUCUAAGCUGACAAGUUUUCAGCUGGUUUUAGCUCCAUCAUGUGUCCCAAUAUAGUUCAGUAAUCUACAGUUUUACUGCUGUGUAUAUUUAUUGACAUAACUCUGGAAAAUAAUGAACCUACAAUUUACCAGAAUAAAUCUUCUUGAUGCUGGAGUAAAGCCUGGUUUAUGCUUCUCCGUCGGCUCCGCAAGGGACAGACACGCACGGAUUGACGGAAGCGUUUUGCUCUCUUACUUCUCCGUCUCCUGGAGAGUGUUGCAAAGCAAUUGCUCGGCAGGACAGCAGAGGGCGUAGCGCUGUUCUGUGGUAUCCUGUCAUGUAUCGGCCCAAGAUAGUGUGUUUAUAUUGUGUUUUUUGUGUACAUAAGAGACUUUUAACACGGACAUAUUUCUCCUCCACCGCUUCAUGGGCUCCCUGUCAUGUUGUGGUGUAGAUGUCUAACCCACGACAUACAGAAUCAGCUUGAGAUGGGGAAAGUGUUUUUUUAAAUAAGAAUUUAUUAAAGGAAACCAAGGGAGCAGCUUGAACGUAGCUGAGUUCUUUCAUAAAGGGAGCCGGUGCGGGAAAUCUGUGGACAGAUGGGAGUCAGAUCCAACUCAAAGGGGAAAACAAGGAAUCAGAAUUGUGUGGGGAACUUACAGUCUGGAGAGGGGGAAAAGUAGCUCGAGGGAGGAGUGGUCCGGUCUGGGCUGAGAGGGGAUUUUUGAAACUGAGAUCCAGAAGGGGAGACGUGGAGGGAGCUGAGUUGGUGGAGAUCCAGGGAGCUUAGGUGGGCAGCUGGAGGUGGUUCUGGCCAGGGAGCAGCUGAGAGACAAGCAGGUUGGAGUUCCAGAGAAAUAGCCAGUCGGGGAUGAAAGUGGAGGUUUGAUCUGGUGAACAAGAGCAGGAAGAGUAAAAUGCAAAAUCCAAAAAUCCAAAACACAUCUAAAAUCUCAAAAGGUCAUAAGAGCUUGAAAAUACUGAGAUGAGGUGGCUUAGAAGGUACCCAGGUAGAGUAAUCAUCCAGCGAAGUGUAGGAGUCUCCCAGCUGCUUAAAUACCCCUGGCCAGCUGAUGAGCAGAUCUGCUGCAGCUUGGUCACCUCCAGACACGCCCACCUGCAGAGGGAAAACUCAAAAGACAGGGAGUGACAGCAGGGAAAUACCUCAGACCAUGACACUCCCCACCUCUAAACCCACGUUUCCUGUCAUUUCCGUCCACAUAUUAAAACGCUUGCUGUGCAUCUUUUCACUCCUCCAGUCACGGGAGAACUAAACGUUCAUAUUUUUAGAGUUUUUUCGCGAGAUAUUCUUCAAGCUUCUCCGUGUCUGCUGCUAGUUAUCCCCGGCUCUCUUUGCAAUGGCGGCGCUGUAAACAACAGCGGCGUCCUGACCAAUCACAAGCUUGCGUAAUCCGUCUCGUUCGACGGAUGUUUAAAAAAGUGGGCUUGACUCCGUACGUACUUGCGUGCUGCCGGCGCCCUACGCAAGGACGGAUAAUGGCGUUGCGUGUCUCCGCACUGACGCAGACGGAGAAGCAUAAACCAGGCGUAACUCCUUAGCUCAACUCGUUGUUUGCACUAAUCCAGGAUGUCAUGCAGGUUUUAAUGUUAAAUAUAGAGAUCAUCUUUUAGAUUAUAUCUGUGUGUGUGUGUGUGUGUGUGUGUGUGUGUGUGUGUGUGUGUGUGUGUGUGUGCGCGCGCGUGCGUGUGUGUGUGUGUCGUAGCUUUCCCAAAGGACUUGUUCUUUCCUUACCGGAGCGAACACGGUUAGUUUUGCUGCAGUCAUGCUAACGAGACUCGUCUAGAGUCCAGAAGUAGCGGUGCGGUUCUAGAUGGAUUUAUAGAUGUAGGUUAUUAUUUUAGAUCAGACCUGUUAUUUAAAAAUGCGUAUAGGACACAGACACAUGGCUCAGACCUUUUGCUGCAGCUGUAAACGCAAUUUUACAUAAUAAUUAGGAGCAUGAAAGUAAACAAAUAACAGUUAUUCACAAUAUUAGCAUCAGCAGCUUUCUUGUUUUACGUGCUGGAGUGAUGUAUGCGAAACACAGUUCUUCACUGUCUGGAGGAGAUGAUUUGGAUUUUCUGUAAUGAUUUAUGACAAAAGUCCUUAAUAAAAUAAAAAACUGGACCCAGUACAUGUUUAUAUAGAUAAUAAAGUGUAGUUAUUUUGCAUUUCUACAAUUUUAAUGCCGAGCCAAUUCCUUUAACCCUUCACCACUGAAAUCAGUUUGUUCAUUCCAAUCCUCCUAAAUAAUCCUCCAAUCAUCCAACUGGAGUCUCGUAACGUCCAUCCUGUCAGAACAGGCCUUGGAGCCCAGGUGUUACUAGAACUAAUGGUGUCUCCUCACCAGCGUGAGCCUCCAAACUGUGAAGGUUGGUCUCCAAACAUGAACUUCAAAUUCAUGCAUUUAUCUCCUCUUGUAACACUUUAAUAUGUUUUAAAAGGCUUGUAUCAUGAUAUGUUACACCUCCCAGACCAAAGAUAGGUCCAAUAUAAUAUAAAAAUCUUAUCAUAAACACUGUAGAGACAUCAUUGUUUAUUAAAUACAAGUUAUUUUCCUGAGCCAUUACUUCAGCCAAGCUAGGAUGCAUGGAUUUGAUGAAGCCAUGCUGUCUUAUGCAGUCACACACACACACACACACACACACACACACACACACACACACACACACACACACACACACACACACACACACACACACACACACACACACACACUGCAGCA